rnacentral:rRNA from 1 species
AGAAUCAACGCUGGCGGCGUGCCUAACACAUGCAAGUCGAACGAGAAAGUGGAGCAAUCCAUUAGUAAAGUGGCGCACGGGUGAGUAACACGUGACUAACCUACCCUUGAGUGGGGGAUAACCUAGGGAAACCUGGGCUAAUACCGCAUAAUACCUUCGGGUCAAAGGAGCAAUUCGCUUAAGGAGGGGGUCGCGGCCGAUUAGUUAGUUGGCGGGGUAAUGGCCCACCAAGACGAUGAUCGGUAU